UGAACGCUGGCGGCGUGCUUAACACAUGCAAGUCGAACGAGAAAGGGAUUGCUUGCAAUCCUGAGUAGAGUGGCGCACGGGUGAGUAACACGUAGAUAAUCUACCUUCAAGCCUGGGAUAACUAUUCGAAAGGAUAGCUAAUACCGGAUAAAGUAUUUUAAUAUAAGUUAAACUAUGAAAGAUUGCCAAUUCGUGAAAGCAAUUGUUUGAAGAUGAGUUUGCGGACCAUUAGUUAGUUGGUGGGGUAACGGCCUACCAAGACGACGAUGGUUAGCUGGUCUGAGAGGAUGAUCAGCCACACUGGAACUGGUACACGGUCCAGACUCCUACGGGAGGCAGCAGUGAGGAAUUUUGCGCAAUGGGGGAAACCCUGACGCAGCAACGCCGCGUGAGUGAAGAAGGCCUUUGGGUCGUAAAGCUCUGUCGACAGGGAAGAAAUUGAAGUUAUCCAAUAGGUGAUUUCAUUGACGGUACCUGUAGAGGAAGCACCGGCUAACUCC
rnacentral:rRNA from 1 species